rnacentral:misc_RNA from 1 species
UAAUUGAAUUUCUACAGCUGGUUUAUUUGCUAACUGGUGCUGGAACACACAGGUGGAAAUUCUUAAUUAGAUUUAAUUUUUAUAAAAAUUUGUGUAAUUAUAUUAAAUAAUAGUAGUGAGUUGAAAAAUUGUGCAAAUACAGUAAUAAAAGUUGGUAUACAGUUUAUAAAGGCAAGCAAGAGAUGCCACAAAGUAAUUAGUGUACGUUCAGUGCAUCGUAAGCUGUCGUGAGCAGUCAGGUGGAACACCAGCAACAACAAAUUAGUUAUAAUUGGAAACUACUUGUUCAUUAGUGCAUUUAUGUAAAGUAUUACAACGGUUUUAGAAAAACCAAAAAAAAAAUAUCAAACGACAACCAGUGCUAACUACACAUAACCAGUGAUUUAACGCAAUCGUUGUAACAACAGAUAAUAUUACAAAGCUAGCACAAUGACGAAUAUGCGUCCACCAAACAAAACCAUACUCCUGAAAGUUGUCAUACUGGGGGAUGGUGGCGUAGGCAAAUCCUGUCUGAUGAAUCGCUUUGUCUCGAAUCGUUACGACGAAAACAACUUUCACACAAUUGGCGUUGAGUUCAUGAAUAAAAACAUCGAUGUGGAUGGCGAGAAAUACACAUUACAGAUCUGGGACACCGCUGGCCAGGAGCGUUUCCGCGCGCUACGCACACCCUUCUAUCGCGGCUCCGAUGUGUGUAUGCUGUGCUAUGCCGUCGAUGAUCGCGACAGUUUUCGCGGACUGAAGCAAUGGCGCAGUGAGUUCCUCAACUAUGCCGAUGUAAAGGCGGAUAAGUUUCCCUUCAUUGUUGUUGGCAAUAAGCUCGACAUGGCCGCAAAGUAUCGUCAGGUGAACUACGAAGAAGUGGAACAAUGGUGCGAGGACAAUGGCAUUACCAAUCUAAUUGAGACUUCCUCGAAAGCAGCCAGCAAUGUCACAGACGCAUUCGUAUUGGCCGUACGCCAGUGGAAGCAUAUGGAGCGUGUUGCCGAAAUCGAGUUGCGCCAACAGAGCGAUACUAUCGAUCUAACACGUAGCAUACGUUUGGCGCAAAAUCGUUUCUGCUGCAUUGGCGGUGGUGGCGGCAGUGGUGGCAGCACCACAUCGGCCGAAGCUGAAUUGGAGGAUGAGUCGAUGCGUAGCGACCGCAGUGGCAGUCGUCCGUCGCCGCUACGUUUCGUCAAACAGUCGAAAGCGGCUGCCAGGCAAUCGCAAGCAACGAAUUUUCAGCUGUAAAUUUCAGUUUGUGGAAUGUGAAUUUGUCGCACACGCUCUUUCCUUUUUGUUUCCACUUUAUGCUUUCAUUUGGUAGAAGCCAAAAUUAUAUAAGCGCGUGUUGUUGAAAUUCCAUUGGUUUGAUGAAAGCCAAGUAAAAGCAAGUAAGACGUAAAACAAUGUAUCUGAUAGACUACACCAAAGGCAGUUAAGCGUUUGUCGCGUGUUGAUAGCGUGCGAAUCGAGAAACGUUAUUUAACUUCAUGUGUAAUUCUAAAAACUAAAACGCGAAAUGUAAACUAAAUGUUAGUCAUAAGCUAAAUAAGUUUGAAAAUUAAAGUAAAAAAUGCUCAAAUUGUUUAUUGAACAAUUUAUAAUUAUUUAAAGCGAAGCAGAUUACUCAUACAACGUGGUGUACACCUGUGAAAUUAUUGCAUUAACAACAUAUUUUUAGGAAACUUUAAACGCUGACAUUCCUCUUUUGCUUUUUACUUAGAUAUACAAUGCUUAAUUCUAUACUCGUACAGCAAUUAAAUAAUGUGGCAACUCAUUUAAUAUAUUUAUAUAUAGAUAUGUAUGUAAAUAUGUACAUACAUAUAUCUAUACAAUAAUUGCUUUCCUAAACAUGUUUUUAUAAUUUAAGCAUUAACGCACACAUUUCAAUUUACCAAAGCUUAAAAUGCAAUUUUUAUAUACCAAAUAUUAAUUUUUAAGCUUAGCACAAAAUAUUUAAAAAAAUCUUUGUUUUAAGUAUCUCGAAAAACAAAAUCAAAAGAAAAUAAUAAUUUAAAGCUGAUUUUUAGUAUAUAUUUUUU